rnacentral:rRNA from 1 species
AGCAGCCGCGGUAAUUCCAGCUCCAAUAGCGUAUAUUAAAGUUGUUGCAGUUAAAAAGCUCGUAGUUGAAUUUUAGGCCUGACCGGGCGGUCCGUCUCUGGCGAGUACUGUCCUGUUGUCGGUCUAUCCUUCUGGUGAGCCGAUAUGUCCUUUAUUGGGUGUAUUGGGGAACCAGAACCAUUACCUUGAAAAAUUAGAGUGUUUAAAGCGGGCUUUUGCUUGAAUAGAUUAGCAUGGAAUAAUAAAAUAGGACGUUGGUUCUAUUUUGUUGGUCUAGGACCACCGUAAUGAUUAAUAGGGAUAGUUGGGGCAUUAGUAUUCAAUUGUCAGAGGUGAAAUUCUUGGAUUUAUUGAAGACUAACUACUGCGAAAGCA